rnacentral:tmRNA from 1 species
UACCUUGACGCUGCCCCCCCGCCCCCUUAUCUUUCUUCUGCUCCCUCGGGGGCUAUGGACAUAAACGGCAGUUUUACUAGCUGGACUGGACUCGGCUGCGAAGCCGACACCUCCACCAAAUUCCCUUCGUUGGGGGCCUAUGGGGGUGAAACAGGAUCGACAGACUGUGAACGAGCUGAUCUUUGUCCCGGUGAGCUACCACCGUUAUCGGUGCAAAAUGUACAGUUGCCAACGACAACCGUGCUCCGGUCGCGCUGGCUGCGUAAGCAGUUCGCAAGAUCGAAACUAAAGCCCUUGCGCUUAGCCGCGUAAGGCGGGGUUCGCAGGCACCUGGCAACAGAAGCCUGCACU